UCUGCCGCGCAUCGGCUGCAGGACGCCCUCCCAGUUUUGAAAGUUGCUUCGAAAUCUGCUAAGAUCAUCACGGACAUUAAGGACACACGUCCCAUACCGUUCAUUACCUUUGAUGCAGGAGAUGUUUAACGUUGCACUGGGCUUGAGAAAGAAACAAAACCGAGUUGUGAGUUGAACUACAAGCCAAGCAUGAACUGCAAGAGUACAGGAAGGCUCCCGCAAGAAGUAGGAGAGGCUUCCAGCAACAGAAAUGGGAGACUUCCAGCAAAAGGGUAAUUGCGAGCUCCAAUAACACGUGGACGUGCUUCUGGAACACGCCACUCAGUCACUUGAUCUGCCACUCGAUCUGCGUCACUUCAAGAUCUUCUGGAUUCUUUCAAGAACUCCGCAGACUUCUGUAAUUCAGUAUUCUGAACGUGACCUCCUGCUUUAUAUAUAAAAUACGAUAUAAAACA